AAGGAGCAUCUGCGCUGCUCGCUUCGAAGAGUCGAAGCCGAGAGUGCCAGAGCCGCUUAUGUUCCCGAAUGUGGAACUGCGGAGCUCAUGGGUGGAACGCUGACAAGUUUCAACGCAUCAUGGUCGAGGUUGAUGUCCUCGGUCGCGGUGAAUAUAUCGACACACUGUUGGGUCCUGAAAGAACAGACGUUCUUUCCAGGCAAAAAAUACGAUCCGCUCGGAUCUCCUGAGAUACCGGCUUCGACCUGUGGGUUGGGGUGCUGGUCCUGGAAUUGGGUUUGAGUGGGUGUGUUGUUUGAGAACUGCACAGUGGACGCGAGCAUCUUUGUUA
rnacentral:misc_RNA from 1 species